rnacentral:rRNA from 1 species
CAGUCGAACGAAGCACUUUAUUUGAUUUCCUUCGGGACUGAUUAUUUUGUGACUGAGUGGCGGACGGGUGAGUAACGCGUGGGUAACCUGCCUUGUACAGGGGGAUAACAGUUGGAAACGGCUGCUAAUACCGCAUAAGCGCACGGCAUCGCAUGAUGCAGUGUGAAAAACUCCGGUGGUAUAAGAUGGACCCGCGUUGGAUUAGCUAGUUGGUGAGGUAACGGCCCACCAAGGCGACGAUCCAUAGCCGACCUGAGAGGGUGACCGGCCACAUUGGGACUGAGACACGGCCCAAACUCCUACGGGAGGCAGCAGUGGGGAAUAUUGCACAAUGGGCGAAAGCCUGAUGCAGCGACGCCGCGUGAGCGAAGAAGUAUUUCGGUAUGUAAAGCUCUAUCAGCAGGGAAGAUAAUGACGGUACCUGACUAAGAAGCACCGGCUAAAUACGUGCCAGCAGCCGCGGUAAUACGUAUGGUGCAAGCGUUAUCCGGAUUUACUGGGUGUAAAGGGAGCGCAGGCGGUGCGGCAAGUCUGAUGUGAAAGCCCGGGGCUCAACCCCGGUACUGCAUUGGAAACUGUCGUACUAGAGUGUCGGAGGGGUAAGCGGAAUUCCUAGUGUAGCGGUGAAAUGCGUAGAUAUUAGGAGGAACACCAGUGGCGAAGGCGGCUUACUGGACGAUAACUGACGCUGAGGCUCGAAAGCGUGGGGAGCAAACAGGAUUAGAUACCCUGGUAGUCCACGCCGUANACGAUGAAUACUA